UACAGAGGUCCCAAGCGUUGUUCGGAUUCACUGGGCGUAAAGGGUGCGUAGGCGGUCGGGUAAGUCUGAUGUGAAAUCUCACAGCUUAACUGUGAAACUGCAUUGGAUACUAUCCGACUCGAGGAAUGGAGGGGAGACUGGAAUUCUCGGUGUAGCAGUGAAAUGCGUAGAUAUCGGGAGGAACACCUGUGGCGAAAGCGGCUCACUGGACCGCAACUGACGCUGAGGCGCGAAAGCUAGGGGAGCAAACAGG
rnacentral:rRNA from 1 species